UACGUAGGGGGCAAGCGUUGUCCGGAUUUAUUGGGCGUAAAGAGCGUGUAGGCGGCUUUACAGGUCCGUUGUGAAAACUCGAGGCUCAACCUCGAGACGCCGGUGGAAACCGUAAAGCUAGAGUCCGGAAGAGGAGAGUGGAAUUCCUGGUGUAGCGGUGGAAUGCGCAGAUAUCAGGAGGAACACCGAUGGCGAAGGCAGCUCGCUGGGACGGUACUGACGCUGAGGCGCGAAAGCGUGGGGAGCGAACAGG
rnacentral:rRNA from 1 species